UGAAAUUGAACUCGCUGUGAAGAUGCAGUGUACCCGCGGCAAGACGGAAAGACCCCGUGAACCUUUACUAUAGCUUGACACUGAACAUUGAGCCUUGAUGUGUAGGAUAGGUGGGAGGCUUUGAAGUGUGGACGCCAGUCUGCAUGGAGCCGACCUUGAAAUACCACCCUUUAAUGUUUGAUGUUCUAACGUGGACCCGUAAUCCGGGUUGCGGACAGUGUCUGGUGGGUAGUUUGACUGGGGCGGUCUCCUCCUAAAGAGUAACGGAGGAGCACGAAGGUUGGCUAAUCCUGGUCGGACAUCAGGAGGUUAGUGCAAUGGCAUAAGCCAGCUUGACUGCGAGCGUGACGGCGCGAGCAGGUGCGAAAGCAGGUCAUAGUGAUCCGGUGGUUCUGAAUGGAAGGGCCAUCGCUCAACGGAUAAAAGGUACUCCGGGGAUAACAGGCUGAUACCGCCCAAGAGUUCAUAUCGACGGCGGUGUUUGGCACCUCGAUGUCGGCUCAUCACAUCCUGGGGCUGAAGUAGGUCCCAAGGGUAUGGCUGUUCGCCAUUUAAAGUGGUACGCGAGCUGGGUUUAGAACGUCGUGAGACAGUUCGGUCCCUAUCUGCCGUGGGCGCUGGAGAACUGAGGGGGGCUGCUCCUAGUACGAGAGGACCGGAGUGGACGCAUCACUGGUGUUCGGGUUGUCAUGCCAAUGGCACUGCCCGGUAGCUAAAUGCGGAAGAGAUAAGUGCUGAAAGCAUCUAAGCACGAAACUUGCCCCGAGAUGAGUUCUCCCUGAGACUUAGAGUCUCCUGAAGGAACGUUGAAGACGACGACGUUGAUAGGCCGGGUGUGUAAGCGCAGCGAUGCGUUGAGCUAACCGGUACUAAUGAACCGUGAGGCUUAACCUUACA
rnacentral:rRNA from 1 species